rnacentral:rRNA from 1 species
UACGAGUGCCCCAAGCGUUCUCCGGAAUCAUUGGGCGUAAAGGGUGUGUAGGCGGUCGGGUUAGUCUCCUGUCAAAUUCUUCGGCUCAACCGGGGGUCCGCAGGGGAAACGGCACGACUAGAGGAUGCGAGAGGUGAAUGGAACUCAUGGAGUAGGGGUGAAACCCGUUGAUGUCAUGGGGAACACCGAAUGCGAAGGCAGUUCACUGGCGCACUCCUGACGCUGAGACACGAAAGCGUAGGUAGCGAAUGGG